UGAUGUGAAGACCCUAUGGAGCUUUAGACACCAACCAACCACGAAAAGCGACCCUGAUUGGAGCCCCAAACAACGUGAUUCUGGCAUAAGUGUUUUCGGUUGGGGGCGACCACGGGAGAUAGCACAGCUCCCGAGUGGAUGGGGGACACCCUAAAACCCAGAGCCACARCUCUCAGUCACAAAACAUUUGACCAAUAAUGAUCCGGCUUAAUGCCGACCAACGGACCAAGUUCCCUAGGGAUAACAGCGCAAUCCUCUCCCAGAGUCACAUAUCGACGAGGGGGUUUACGACCUCCAUACAUAA
rnacentral:rRNA from 1 species